GGGAAGGUAGCUCAGUGGUAGAGCGCUUGCCUUGCAUGCCUGGGGCUCUGGGUUCGAUUCCCCAGCACCA
rfam:Dipodomys ordii contig_5670, whole genome shotgun sequence.